rnacentral:rRNA from 1 species
GUGCCAGCCGCCGCGGUAAUACGGAGGGUGCAAGCGUUAAUCGGAAUUACUGGGCGUAAAGCGCACGUAGGUGGUUUGUUAAGCCAGCUGUGAAAUCCCCGGGCUCAACCUGGGCACUGCAGUUGGAACUGGCAAGCUAGAGUAGGGUAGAGGGGUGUGGAAUUUCAGGUGUAGCGGUGAAAUGCGUAGAUAUCUGAAGGAACAUCAGUGGCGAAGGCGACACCCUGGACUCAUACUGACACUGAGGUGCGAAAGCGUGGGGAGCAAACAGGAUUAGAAACCCUGGUAGUCC